GACGAACGCUGGCGGCGUGCUUAACACAUGCAAGUCGAACGGAAAGGCCCUGCUUGCAGGGUACUCGAGUGGCGAACGGGUGAGUAACACGUGGGUGAUCUGCCCUGCACUUCGGGAUAAGCUUGGGAAACUGGGUCUAAUACCGGAUAGGAGCCAUCUUUAGUGUGGUGGUUGGAAAGUUUUUUCGGUGUAGGAUGAGCUCGCGGCCUAUCAGCUUGUUGGUGGGGUAAUGGCCUACCAAGGCGGCGACGGGUAGCCGGCCUGAGAGGGUGUACGGCCACAUUGGGACUGAGAUACGGCCCAGACCCCUACGGGAGGCAGCAGUGGGGAAUAUUGCACAAUGGGCGCAAGCCUGAUGCAGCGACGCCGCGUGGGGGAUGAAGGCCUUCGGGUUGUAAACUCCUUUCGCUAGGGACGAAGCUUUUUUGUGACGGUACCUAGAUAAGAAGCACCGGCUAACUACGUG
rnacentral:rRNA from 1 species